AUAAAAUCUACAACUCUCAAAGGAAAAGAAUACUUUCUCAGUGUUUUUGUUUUUUACAAGAGAAUUAUUUAAAGAAUGUAUUCCCUUUCCGCUUGAGUCCUUGAAGAACUCCCAUCUGUCUUUGUCUUUAUAAAUUUGUGAGUGCUUUGCUUUGCAUGGAUUAUAACUCUUACCAAACCCUGAUGAGGAAUUGAGCUUCAGUUAUUUUAACUUGCCUUGGCAGAAUUGCAUCGCUUCAGACAGGAUUCCUUGACUCCCUGAUUAGGAUGAGGAAAUCAAGACCCCUCAACUCUGCGUUUCUGUUCUCCCCAGCUUCCCACACCCUCCUAUUACUAGUGGGCUGAGUGUGAUCACAAGGGUCCUUCAGAGAGGAAGAGGAGGAGGUCACUACAGAAGAAAGCACGGAGAGAGGCCAUGUGGCUGUGAAGAUGGAAGAGGGGCCGUGAGGAAAGGGUGAUGGACAACGCAAGGAAAUGGAUUCUCCCCCAGAGCCCCCAGAAAGGAACACAGCUCAGCCACCACCUUGACAUUAGCCCAGGGAGACCUGGGUUGAACAUCUCUCCCAAAGGACCCUAAGACAAUAAAGUUGUUUUGUCUCAUGCCA